rnacentral:rRNA from 1 species
GGUCUGGUGGCGAGUGGCGAACGGGUGAGUAAUGUAUCGGAACGUGCCCAGUAGCGGGGGAUAACUACGCGAAAGCGUAGCUAAUACCGCAUACGCCCUACGGGGGAAAGCAGGGGAUCGCAAGACCUUGCACUAUUGGAGCGGCCGAUAUCGGAUUAGCUAGUUGGUGGGGUAACGGCUCACCAAGGCGACGAUCCGUAGCUGGUUUGAGAGGACGACCAGCCACACUGGGACUGAGACACGGCCCAGACUCCUACGGGAGGCAGCAGUGGGGAAUUUUGGACAAUGGGGGAAACCCUGAUCCAGCCAUCCCGCGUGUGCGAUGAAGGCCUUCGGGUUGUAAAGCACUUUUGGCAGGAAAGAAACGUCGCGGGUUAAUACCCCGCGAAACUGACGGUACCUGCAGAAUAAGCACCGGCUAACUACGUGCCAGCAGCCGCGGUAAUACGUAGGGUGCAAGCGUUAAUCGGAAUUACUGGGCGUAAAGCGUGCGCAGGCGGUUCGGAAAGAAAGAUGUGAAAUCCCAGAGCUUAACUUUGGAACUGCAUUUUUAACUACCGGGCUAGAGUGUGUCAGAGGGAGGUGGAAUUCCGCGUGUAGCAGUGAAAUGCGUAGAUAUGCGGAGGAACACCGAUGGCGAAGGCAGCCUCCUGGGAUAACACUGACGCUCAUGCACGAAAGCG